UACGAAGGGGGCUAGCGUUGCUCGGAAUCACUGGGCGUAAAGGGCGCGUAGGCGGCCUGUUAAGUCGAACGUGAAAUCCCCGGGCUCAACCCGGGAACUGCGUCCGAUACUGGCAGGCUUGAAUCCGGGAGAGGGAUGCGGAAUUCCUAGUGUAGGAGUGAAAUCCGUAGAUAUUAGGAGGAACACCGGUGGCGAAGGCGGCUGCCUGGACCGAUACUGACGCUGAGACGCGAAAGCGUGGGGAGCAAACAGG
rnacentral:rRNA from 1 species